GACGUUAGCAACAGAAGAAGCACCGGCUAACUCCGUGCCAGCAGCCGCGGUAAUACGGAGGGUGCGAGCGUUAAUCGGAAUUACUGGGCGUAAAGCGCAUGCAGGUGGUUCAUUAAGUCAGAUGUGAAAGCCCGGGGCUCAACCUCGGAACUGCAUUUGAAACUGGUGAACUAGAGUACUGUAGAGGGGGGUAGAAUUUCAGGUGUAGCGGUGAAAUGCGUAGAGAUCUGAAGGAAUACCAGUGGCGAAGGCGGCCCCCUGGACAGAUACUGACACUCAGAUGCGAAAGCGUGGGGAGCAAACAGGAUUAGAUACCCUGGUAGUCCACGCCGUAAACGAUGUCUACUUGGAGGUUGUGGCCUUGAGCCGUGGCUUUCGGAGCUAACGCGUUAAGUAGACCGCCUGGGGAGUACGGUCGCAAGAUUAAAACUCAAAUGAAUUGACGGGGGCCCGCACAAGCGGUGGAGCAUGUGGUUUAAUUCGAUGCAACGCGAAGAACCUUACCUACUCUUGACAUCCAGAGAAGCCAGCGGAGACGCAGGUGUGCCUUCGGGAGCUCUGAGACAGGUGCUGCAUGGCUGUCGUCAGCUCGUGUUGUGAAAUGUUGGGUUAAGUCCCGCAACGAGCGCAACCCUUAUCCUUGUUUGCCAGCGAGUAAUGUCGGGAACUCCAGGGAGACUGCCGGUGAUAAACCGGAGG
rnacentral:rRNA from 1 species